CGAGCCUUCACACCUCUCUCGUUUCUGUUUGGUAGAAAUGUGGCUGAAGCCAGUAGCUAGUGAGUUUCAGUUAUUUUGUUUGCAGGUUCAGUCUUUGUAUGAAAAGAAGUUGGAAGUGGAAAAAUCUUGAAAUAUUUGGCGAAGGGUGGAAAAUGGUUCUAAAAACGGCUGAGCAGAAACCCUUCAUUAUGAGCGUGCUGUGUGAGUGCGGUGUGGGCCCACGCAGGGGAAACCAGCAGGCUGCUUGGCUCAUCCAGACCAUCACAGAGGCCAAGGCCGGGUUUCUGUUUGGCUCCACCAGAUGUCGCCGCAGCUGUGACAGGACUUCAGAUCCAGAUGUGCUUUGGUUGUGUCCGUCAGCAGGUGAGCUCGUUUACGCCUCCAGU
ensembl:lncRNA